rnacentral:lncRNA from 1 species
GAAUACUUGUUGUUUACAGAAAGCAAGAUCAAAGAAGCUGAUGAUAUACUUCAAGUUGAGAGUUGCAAAGUUUAUGGAAGCUCUGUGUUAGGAUGUACAUGAUGCAGGCUUUGGCACUCCAGGAAAGCAUCAUUUCAAGCUGAGCACAGUUUUACCCUUGAAUAAAAAAGUCCACUGUGUAUCCACAGUUAUUUGCUAAGGCAAAAUUUUUGUGGAAGUUCCUUCUCUGGAAGCUUCUGUUUCUAGAAAUGACAAUUCAACACCAGCUUCUCAGCACUACCUUAGUGGUUGUAUCCAUGCCGUGGCAGAAUAGGAAGAGCUUCUGGAACUGACCAAGGUCGUGAGAGGGUUGGGACACUCCAGGUUCAAUGUAAUCUCACUGGGCACCAACA